GGGGAUUAGCUUAGUUGGUAGAGCGCCUGCUUUGCAAGCAGGAGGUCAUCGGUUCGAUCCCGUUAUCCUC
rnacentral:tRNA from 1 species